CACAAUUGAAAUCCGACAAAACUACAAGAAGCUAAUUCUCCGCGCCAAGCUGUCAUUAUCACUUUCCUGCUGCCUCCUACUCCAAGCUUUAUAUUUUUUUUCUUUUUUUGUAACUGCAUAUAGUUAGGCCAGGGAGCAAGACGUAGCAUAUUUGAGAGUAGAUGGGGCAAAAAAUAUAUCUGAUCUUCAAAAUUGGUGUUGGGUGGGAGCAAGACGCAGGCCAGGGGCUGGCUGUAGUAGUAUUUAUCAUGCUGGUUUCAUAUCACGGACACGGAGUGCUUGUAAAUAUGUUUAGUAAUUAAUUUGUCCCAUUUUUCUUUUUCACUGUACCAAAAUGUUUUUUAAUAUUCAUCGUGUUGGUUUCGUGUCAUAAAUUGUAUUUGAACCCGGAGUCAAAUUCGAUCCACGUGCCACACCAGCUCAUGCCACACUGAGAUGCUCGAUCGAUCUACGUUCCCCGAGCUGGCGAAGCGUCACAAGCGAUACAUGCUUCCUCCGGCUACCCCAGGGUAUGCUGGACCUAUACUGGGCAUGGGUGGCCCGGCCCGAAGCCCGACGUUCCGGGUCGGGUUCGGGCCUUACUUUCCAG
rnacentral:lncRNA from 1 species